rnacentral:rRNA from 1 species
AUUGAACGCUGGCGGCAGGCCUAACACAUGCAAGUCGAGCGGAUGAAGGGAGCUUGCUCCUGGAUUCAGCGGCGGACGGGUGAGUAAUGCCUAGGAAUCUGCCUGGUAGUGGGGGAUAACGUCCGGAAACGGGCGCUAAUACCGCAUACGUCCUGAGGGAGAAAGUGGGGGAUCUUCGGACCUCACGCUAUCAGAUGAGCCUAGGUCGGAUUAGCUAGUUGGUGGGGUAAAGGCCUACCAAGGCGACGAUCCGUAACUGGUCUGAGAGGAUGAUCAGUCACACUGGAACUGAGACACGGUCCAGACUCCUACGGGAGGCAGAAGUGGGGAAUAUUGGACAAUGGGCGAAAGCCUGAUCCAGCCAUGCCGCGUGUGUGAAGAAGGUCUUCGGAUUGUAAAGCACUUUAAGUUGGGAGGAAGGGCAGUAAGUUAAUACCUUACUGUUUUGACGUUACCAACAGAAUAAGCACCGGCUAACUUCGUG